rnacentral:rRNA from 1 species
UACAGGGGGUGCAAACGUUGCUCGGAAUUAUUGGGCGUAAAGCGCACGUAGGCGGUUACUUAAGUCGGAUGUGAAAGCCCUUGGCUCAACCGAGGAAGUGCAUACGAAACUGAGUAACUGGAGUCCGAAAGAGGGUCGCGGAAUUCCCGGUGUAGAGGUGAAAUUCGUAGAUAUCGGGAGGAACACCGGUGGCGAAGGCGGCGACCUGGGUCGAGACUGACGCUGAGGUGCGAAAGCGUGGGGAGCAAACAGG